AGUGAACGUUGGCGGCGUGGAUUAGGCAUGCGAGUCGAGCAAGAACCGUAGCAAUACGGGGACAGCGGCGAAAGGGACAGUAAUAUGUAGGUACCUACCCUCGGGUCCGGGAUAGCUGCGGGAAACUGCAGGUAAUACCGGAUGACAUCUCCGGAUCAAAGGUGUGAUUCCGCCCGGGGAGGGGCCUGCAUCCUAUUGGCUUGUUGGGGGGGUAGCGGCCUACCAAGGCGACGAUGGGUAGCGGGGGUGAGAGCAUGACCCGCGUCAUUGGGACUGAGACACUGCCCAGACCCCUACGGGUGGCUGCAGUCGAGAAUCUUCGGCAAUGGGGGCAACCCUGACCGAGCGACGCCGCGUGCGGGAUGAAGGCCUUCGGGUUGUAAACCGCUGUCGUAGAGGAGGAAAUGCAGGGGGGUUCUCCCCUCUGUUUGACCUAUUCUAGGAGGAAGGACGGGCUAAGUUCGUGCCAGCAGCCGCAGUAA
rnacentral:rRNA from 1 species